UUCUUAUUUGAUAUACUGUAUGCAUGUAUGAAAAAUCUAUAAAACCUGAUGUGCCCAGUCAAGGAAUUGGUAUGGUGAGUGUCACCAUAAUAUUAACAAUAAAUACUUAUAUUAAACCAUAAUUAAUACAAAAUUUUUUAAAGGGACUUGACCUUAACUACUGAUUAUGUUAUUAAGAGCUGUUUUGGACCUGCAAAGGCAUAUUCUCUGGUCACUUCUGUAUCAGCCACAUCUCAGCCCAUGUCUGAAGAUGUCCUGGUCAAUAAAAAACAGAAACAGGGAAAUACAGAGAAAAAUGAGAAUGUUUAUCACCUGUACUCCACAAUCCCUGACAAACCAGUUCACUCAAACACAGAAGAUCACAUGUACAGUUUGGUGAACAUGCACUGAUGAAUCUCAUGUCUGUGUUUAUUAUGUACAACCACUAUACUGUAAAUAAAAAAUCUUCACUUGCAGAUGAAUAAGUGUCCUAUUUUCAUUAUUCAGUGCAUGGUGCGGAAUAUAGCAACUUCAGUCUGUGGCAAGGCCCACUCCAAUACCAAGAACAGCUAAUUGAGCAUUCAAUAAAGGCUGAACUUUCUGAAGUAAUCGUAAACCUUUUGAACUAGAAUUUUUUUUUCUCCUUACUGUUCUGUAUUACUCAAGGUAUAUAUAUAUUUAGUCUAUUAGUUUUUCAUAGUCCAUCAUGUGUCUAUAGCUUCUAGUGCCACAAAACCCAGUCAAUUACAUCAGAGAUGAAAGAGAAUAGUGACUCGCAUCCUGUUUUAGUGAAUCAUUCAUUCCAGUGUGUUUUUGUUUGAAACACAAACUGAAUCGCAGGUCAAAGCAUCCAUUAAAUACUCUUUAUUAAAAAAAAAAAAAAAAAAAAAAAAGGUUCUUUAUU